GGAUGUGAGGGCGAUCUGGCUGUGACACCUGUCACCCCAUUGAUCGCCAGGGUUGAAUUGGCUGAUCUGGCUGGCUAGGCGGGUGUCCCCUUCCUCCCUCACCGCUCCAUGUGUGUUCCUCCUGAAGCUGUGUGCUCGGUCAAAGAGGACGACCUUCCCCGAAUAGAGGAGGACCGGUCUUCGGUCAAGGGUAUACAAGUAGCUGUGCUCCCCUGCUAGAACCUCCAAACAUGCUCUCAAGAACCAAGCAGCAGCUGGGUACUGUGGCACUUAACUUACCUGUAAUCCAACUACAGUUUGAAGGUAGCUUUGUGAGUAUCUGU
ensembl:misc_RNA 7SK 7SK RNA